rnacentral:rRNA from 1 species
UACGGAGGGUGCAAGCGUUAUCCGGAUUUACUGGGUUUAAAGGGUGUGUAGGCGGGCUUUUAAGUCAGUGGUGAAAUCUCCGGGCUCAACCUGGAAACUGCCAUUGAUACUAUUAGUCUUGAAUCUGUUGAGGUAGGCGGAAUAAGUCAUGUAGCGGUGAAAUGCAUAGAUAUGACUUAGAACCCCAAUUGCGAAGGCAGCUUACUAAGCAGACAUUGACGCUGAGGCACGAAAGCGUGGGGAUCAAACAGG